rnacentral:tRNA from 1 species
GGGGAUUUAGCUUAGUGGCAUAAGCACCUGCCUGGCAAGUACGAGGUUAUCAGUUCAAUCCCCA